rnacentral:lncRNA from 1 species
GAUAGGUCCCAGUUAUAGGACAAUCAAUGCUAUCGAGAACAAAGACAAGAACACUUUGGUUCUCAAAGACUUUAGAACAAGUUACUACAAUUUUUCUCUUCUUAUUAGAUUCUGCAAUAAACGAUGCUUAAAUACACAAAGAAAUAACUAACUACUAAGAAACGUGAAACGUGGGCAAGUUAACACAUUCCCACUAAUUAAUUAAAACAACUAAAACUGAUCUCUUGGCCACGUCAUCUUCUUCCUCAUUGUAUCUCAUCAAA